rnacentral:rRNA from 1 species
CCUACGGGUGGCAGCAGUGAGGAAUAUUGGUCAAUGGGCGCGAGCCUGACCAGCCAAGUAGCGUGAAGGAUGACUGCCCUACGGGUUGUAAACUUCUUUUAUAAAAGAAUAAAGUGAGGCACGUGGGCCUUUUUGUAUGUACUUUAUGAAUAAGGAUCGGCUAACUCCGGGCCAGCAGCCGCGGUAAUAAGGAGGAUCCGAGCGUUAUCCGGAUUUAUUGGGUUUAAAGGGGGCGUAGAUGGGUUGUUAAGUCAGUUGUGAAAGUUUGCGGGUCAACCGUAAAAUUGACAUUGAUACUGGCAGUCUUGAGUACAGUUGAGGUAGGCGGAAUUCGUGGUGUAGCGGUGAAAUGCUUAGAUAUCACGAAGAACUCCGAUUGCGAAGGCAGCUUACUAAACUGCCACUGACAUUGAUGCUCGAAAGUGUGGGUAUCAAACAGGAUUAGAUACCCUUGUAGUC